CGAAGGAAGUUCAAGUUGGCUUGCAUCAUGUGGAAAGGGCCCAAAAUCUUGGAGAAGAAAUUAACAUUCUUACUUGUUACAAAUCUGGUCGGGAGCGUCGCUUACAACUUCAGAAGUCGAAGUACCAGAAGAUGAAAGAAUAUCCCCCCUUUUGAAUUGGUCGAGUUUAUUUGAAGUGUUUGUCUCCUGUGCAGUUUAAUUCUAAUGUAAUGACUUAUGCCAAUAAAAUAUGGUUCAAUGUCUU
rnacentral:lncRNA from 1 species